CAGCCAGACUCCUACGGGAGGCAGCAGUGGGGAAUAUUGCACAAUGGGCGCAAGCCUGAUGCAGCGACGCCGCGUGCGGGAUGGAGGCCUUCGGGUUGUAAACCGCUUUUGUUCAAGGGCAAGGCACGGCUUCGGGCCGUGUUGAGUGGAUUGUUCGAAUAAGCACCGGCUAACUCCGUGCCAGCAGCCGCGGUAAUACGGAGGAUGCGAGCGUUAUCCGGAUUUAUUGGGUUUAAAGGGUGCGUAGGCGGAAUGCCAAGUCAGCGGUAAAAUCGCGGGGCUCAACCUCGCUCCGCCGUUGAAACUGGCGUUCUUGAGUGGGCGAGAAGUAUGCGGAAUGCGUGGUGUAGCGGUGAAAUGCAUAGAUAUCACGCAGAACUCCGAUUGCGAAGGCAGCAUACCGGCGCCCAACUGACGCUGAAGCACGAAGGCGUGGGUAUCGAACAGGAUUAGAUACCCCCGUAU
rnacentral:rRNA from 1 species